CUGCCAGGUGGUGAGUUGCAUCUGUACAUCUCCAGUAUGUUUUCUGAGCUCUGCGUCUGUUGACUCUGUACUCGAAUCCAUUGUGGUAAAGAUUCUGAC